rnacentral:rRNA from 1 species
GAAUCUGGCUUCGGGUUCGGGACAACAGUGGGAAACUGCUGCUAAUACCGGAUGUGCCGCAAGGUAAAAGAUUAAUUGCCCGAAGAUGAGCUCGCGUCCGAUUAGCUAGUUGGUGUGGUAAGAGCGCACCAAGGCGUCGAUCGGUAGCUGGUCUGAGAGGACGAUCAGCCACACUGGGACUGAGACACGGCCCAGACUCCUACGGGAGGCAGCAGUGGGGAAUUUUCCGCAAUGGGCGAAAGCCUGACGGAGCAAUACCGCGUGAGGGAGGAAGGCUCUUGGGUUGUAAACCUCUUUUCUCAGGGAAGAACACAAUGACGGUACCUGAGGAAUCAGCAUCGGCUAACUCCGUGCCAGCAGCCGCGGUAAUACGGAGGAUGCAAGCGUUAUCCGGAAUGAUUGGGCGUAAAGCGUCCGCAGGUGGCUUAUCAAGUCGAUUGUCAAAGGUCCUGGCUCAACUGGGAAGAGGCAGUGGAAACUGAAAAGCUAGAGUGCGGUAGGGGUAGAGGGAAUUCCCGGUGUAGCGGUGAAAUGCGUAGAGAUCGGGAAGAACACCAGUGGCGAAAGCGCUCUACUAGACCUGCACUGACACUCAGGGACGAAAGCUAGGGGAGCG